GAAAUGCGAUAAUUAAUGUGAAUUGCAGAAUUCAGUGAAUCAUCGAGUCUUUGAACGCACAUUGCGCCCCCUGGUAUUCCGGGGGGCAUGCCUGUCCGAGCGUCAUUGCUGCCCUCAAGCACGGCUUGUGUGUUGGGCUUCCGUCCCUGGCUACGGGGACGGGCCCAAAAGGCAGUGGCGGCACCAUGUCUGGUCCUCGAGCGUAUGGGGCUUUGUCACCCGCUCCCGUAGGUCCAGCUGGCAGCUAGCCUCGCAACCAAUCUUUUUAACCAGGUUGACCUCGGAUCAGGUAGGGAUACCCGCUGAACUUAAGC
rnacentral:misc_RNA from 1 species